CAGCAGCCGCGGUAAUACGAAGGGUGCAAGCGUUAAUCGGAAUUACUGGGCGUAAAGCGUGCGUAGGCGGUGAGUUAAGUCUGCUGUGAAAUCCCCGGGCUCAACCUGGGAAUGGCAGUGGAUACUGGCUCGCUAGAGUGUGUCAGAGGAUGGUGGAAUUCCCGGUGUAGCGGUGAAAUGCGUAGAGAUCGGGAGGAACAUCAGUGGCGAAGGCGGCCAUCUGGGACAACACUGACGCUGAGGCACGAAAGCGUGGGGAGCAAACAGGAUUAGAGACCCCCGUAGUCCCUGUCUCUUAUAC
rnacentral:rRNA from 1 species